rnacentral:rRNA from 1 species
CGGCGUGCCUAAUACAUGCAAGUUGAAACGCAACAAAGACACCAGAGCUUGCUCUACCGUUUUUGUUGAGUAGCGAACGGGUGAGUAACGCGUGGGUAACCUGCCUUAUAGCGGGGGAUAACUAUUGGAAACGAUAGCUAAUACCGCAUAACAAUAGAGAUUGCAUAAUCUUUAUUUGAAAGUGCCAACUGGUACACUAUGAGAUGGACCCGCGUUGUAUUAGCUAGUUGGUAGUGUAAUGGACUACCAAGGCGAUGAUACAUAGCCGACCUGAGAGGGUGAUCGGCCACAUUGGGACUGAGACACGGCCCAAACUCCUACGGGAGGCAGCAGUAGGGAAUCUUCGGCAAUGGACGAAAGUCUGACCGAGCAACGCCGCGUGAGUGAAGAAGGUUUUCGGAUCGUAAAACUCUGUUGUUAGAGAAGAAUGUUGAUUAGAGUGGAAAAUUAAUCAAGUGACGGUAUCUAACCAGAAAGGGACGGCUAACUACGUG